rnacentral:rRNA from 1 species
AUUGAACGCUGGCGGCAGGCCUAACACAUGCAAGUCGAACGAGUGGCGGACGGGUGAGUAAUGUCUGGGAACCUGCCUUAUGGAGGGGGAUAACUACUGGAAACGGUAGCUAAUACCGCAUAACCUCGGAUGUGCCCAGAUGGGAUUAGCUAGUAGGUGGGGUAAAGGCUCCCCUAGGCGGCGAUCCCUAGCUGGUCUGAGAGGUGGACCAGCCAAACGGGAACCGAGACACGGUCUAGACUCCUCCGGGAGGCAGCAGUGGGGAAUAUUGCAAAAGGGGCGCAAGCCGGAGGCAGCAAUGCGGGGUGGAUGAAGAAGGCCUUCGGGUUGUAAAGUAUUUGCAGCGGGGAGGCGUUACCCGCAGAAGAAGCACCGGCUAAUCCCGUGCCAGCGGCCGCGUAAUAC